rnacentral:miRNA from 1 species
GUGACCAGUGGUGUUCCACA